CAAUACCCCUAUUUUUACAAAGUAUGCAUGAAUGGAAAAAACACAUUUUCCUCCUGUAAAUAGGUUCUGUUCAGAUGGCUGGUGAGAAAGGAAGAUAGAUGCCUUCAAUGCUGAGUUUUUCCAUCCUCCUUGUCAUCCUCUGUUGGAAGGAAGAAAGGACCAGUUAAACCACAGCUUCCCAGACUCUGCUGCGUCUGCAUGAGAUAUGCAUACCACACCCGUCUCGCUGCACACCAGCCAUCCCCUGCUGAAGACACCCAUGGGGAAGCAGAAAAGUGAUGUCUGAAACCAUUAGACAGAAUCUGAUCCCAAGGUGGGCCAGGAUAGGAUUACAAGAGCCACUGUAAGUUUUUAUAACAAUGUCUCUUGGCCUGAAGUUUGAUCACCUCUCUUUCAGUUCGGACUAGGACAUAAAACUAUAUGUUGUGUAAUAGCUUGCAUACAGAAUGUGUGACAUAGAACUAUAAAGCUCCAGUGAAAGCAAGAGCAGGAAAGAUGAUCCCAAACGAUAUUUGAGAAUUAGGGGAGUGGGUGGGGUGAUGGAGUAAGAGACAAAGAGGUUGUGAAAA
rnacentral:lncRNA from 1 species